CUCUUGGUGGUUUCACAGAGCAUUGGUCUCAGACUGAAUAAAUCCCAGAUUGCUUGGCGCAUACAGCAGCUGGUUACCGUCCAAUGGAUUCGGCUGCCUGAGUCUGAGCUGGUCCUGAGAGGUGAGGGCAGGAAACUGGGCCUUCCUCAGACCCAAUAACACUUUCUGUGUGUGUUUAGGGGCAGGGCGAACGGUCAGCUGUAUGAAGUCGACCUCCAGCUUCAGGCCAACAUCUCUGCUGAAAGCUGCUGCUGGGAAAUGAAGUGUAAUGAGCCGGUCCUCAAACUGGUAAAACAACAGCACGGACACUGGGAAAAACUCCUGAGGAACAAGAAUGUUUUGGUGACUUAUGACAUGGAGCAUUUAGAAGAGGAUGAAAACAGAGCGCCACCUGGUAGAGAAACUGAAUCCAACAGAAUAAUGUGAAGAAUUGUUUGCUGUGUACCAACACUGACCUGCUGUCUGUUGUGCUUCAGCCUCAGUGCAGUGGUUUGUGGGAGACACAGGAGAAGAUCACUGGUUUGUGGACUCGGAGAGCAGGAGCGACACUGAUGAUUAGAGAUGAUGAAGCUUGGAGACAUACACCACGACUUUGACGUCUCAUUUGUUAAUGAGAUAACGAGUUU
rnacentral:lncRNA from 1 species